UGUGACGGAGAUCAUGCGGUGCC
rnacentral:piRNA from 1 species